rnacentral:rRNA from 1 species
CCUACGGGUGGCAGCAGUGAGGAAUAUUGGUCAAUGGCCGGCAGGCUGAACCAGCCAAGUCGCGUGAGGGAGUAAGGCCCUAUGGGUCGUAAACCUCUUUUGUCAGGGAGCAAAGGCGUCCACGUGUGGACGGGAGAGGAGUACCGGAAGAAAAAGCAUCGGCUAACUCCGUGCCAGCAGCCGCGGUAAUACGGAGGAUGCGAGCGUUAUCCGGAUUUAUUGGGUUUAAAGGGUGCGUAGGCGGACUGUCAAGUCAGCGGUAAAAUUUCGGGGCUCAACCCCGUCCUGCCGUUGAAACUGGCGGCCUUGAGUGAGUGAGAAGUAAGCGGAAUGCGUGGUGUAGCGGUGAAAUGCAUAGAUAUCACGCAGAACGCCGAUUGCGAAGGCAGCUUACCGGCGCCAAACUGACGCUGAGGCACGAAAGUGCGGGUAUCGAACAGGAUUAGAUACCCGUGUAGUC